GAGCGAACGGACGAGAAGCUUGCUUCUCUGAUGUUAGCGGCGGACGGGUGCGUAACACGUGGAUAACCUACCUAUAAGACUGGGAUAACUUCGGGAAACCGGAGCUAAUACCGGAUAAUAUUUUGAACCGCAUGGUUCAAAAGUAAAAGACGGUCUUGCUGUCACUUAUAGAUGGAUCCGCGCUGCAUUAGCUAGUUGGUAAGGUAACGGCUUACCAAGGCAACGAUGCAUAGCCGACCUGAGAGGGUGAUCGGCCACACUGGAACUGAGACACGGUCCAGACUCCUACGGGAGGCAGCAGUAGGGAAUCUUCCGCAAUGGGCGAAAGCCUGACGGAGCAACGCCGCGUGAGUGAUGAAGGUCUUCGGAUCGUAAAACUCUGUUAUUAGGGAAGAACAUAUGUGUAAGUAACUGUGCACAUCUUGACGGUACCUAAUCAGAAAGCCACGGCUAACUACGUGCCAGCAGCCGCGGUAAUACGUAGGUGGCAAGCGUUAUCCGGAAUUAUUGGGCGUAAAGCGCGCGUAGGCGGUUUUUUAAGUCUGAUGUGAAAGCCCACGGCUCAACCGUGGAGGGUCAUUGGAAACUGGAAAACUUGAGUGCAGAAGAGGAAAGUGGAAUUCCAUGUGUAGCGGUGAAAUGCGCAGAGAUAUGGAGGAACACCAGUGGCGAAGGCGACUUUCUGGUCUGUAACUGACGCUGAUGUGCGAAAGCGUGGGGAUC
rnacentral:rRNA from 1 species